ACGGAAGGCAGCAUUGGGGAAUAUUGGGCAAUGGGCGAAAGCCCGACCCAGCAACGCCGCGUGAAGGAAGAAGGUUUUCGGAUUGUAAACUUCUUUUAUCAGGGACGAAGAAAGUGACGGUACCUGAUGAAUAAGCCACGGCUAACUACGUGCCAGCAGCCGCGGUAAUACGUAGGUGGCAAGCGUUAUCCGGAUUUACUGGGUGUAAAGGGCGCGUAGGCGGGGAUGCAAGUCAGGUGUGAAAUCUAUGGGCUUAACCCAUAAACUGCAGUUGAAACUGUAUCUCUUGAGUGUCGGAGAGGUAGACGGAAUUCCUAGUGUAGCGGUGAAAUGCGUAGAUAUUAGGAGGAACACCAGUGGCGAAGGCGGUCUACUGGACGAUAACUGACGCUGAGGCGCGAAAGCGUGGGGAGCAAACAGGAUUAGAUACCCUGGUA
rnacentral:rRNA from 1 species